UACGAAGGGGGCUAGCGUUGUUCGGAAUUACUGGGCGUAAAGCGCGCGCAGGCGGCUAUCCAAGUCAGUGGUGAAAGCCCGAGGCUCAACUUCGGGUCGGCCGCGGAUACUCUCGUGCUGGAGGGUGGUAGAGGCCAAUGGAAUUCCGGGUGUAGCGGUGGAAUGCGUAGAGAUCCGGAAGAACACCGGUGGCGAAGGCGGUUGGCUGGGCCACACCUGACACUGAGGCGCGACAGCGUGGGGAGCAAACAGG
rnacentral:rRNA from 1 species